GAUGAACGCUGGCGGCGUGCCUAAUACAUGCAAGUCGAGCGAACAGAUGAGGAGCUUGCUCCUCUGACGUUAGCGGCGGACGGGUGAGUAACACGUGGAUAACCUACCUAUAAGACUGAGAUCACUUCGGGAAACCGGAGCUAAUACCGGAUAAUAUAUUGAACCGCAUGGUUCAAUAGUGAAAGACGGCUUUGCUGGCUGUAAUAGCUGGAUCCGAGCCGCAUGAGCUAGUUGGUAAGGUAACGGCUUAUCAAGGCAACGAUGCGUAGCCGAACUGAUAGGGGGAUCGGCCGCAUUGGAACUGAGACACGGACCAGACUCCUACGGGAGGGAGCAGUAGGGAACGUGCCGCAAUGGGCGAAAGCCUGACGGAGCAACGCCGCGUGUGUUGUGGAGGUCUUCGGAGCGUAAUACUCUGUUAUUAGUGAAGAACAGAUGUGGAAGUAGCCAUGGAGGUAUUGACGGUACCUGAUCAGAAAGCACCGGCUAACUACGUG
rnacentral:rRNA from 1 species